rnacentral:rRNA from 1 species
AUUGAACGCUAGCGGGAUGCUUUACACAUGCAAGUCGAACGGAGUGGCGGACGGGUGAGUAAUAUAUCGGAAUGUGCCCAGUAGCGGGGGAUAACUACUCGAAAGAGUGGCUACUACCGCAUACUAUCAGAGCGGCCCAUAUCGGAUUAGCUAGUGGGUGGGGUAAAGGCUAACCAAGGCAACGAUCCGUAGCUGGUUUGAGAGGACGACCAGCCACACUGGGACUGAGACACGGCCCAGACUCCUACGGGAGGCAGCAGUGGGGAAGAUUGGACAAUGGGGGAAACCCUGAUUCAGCCAUCCCGCGUGUAUGAUGAAGGCCUUAGGGUUGUAAAGUACUUUUGGCAUGGAAGCGGUAUCUGCAGAAUAAGCACCGGCUAACUACGUGCCAGCAGCCGCGGUAAUUC